GAUGAACGCUGGCGGCGUGCCUAAUACAUGCAAGUCGAGCGAACAGACGAGGAGCUUGCUCCUCUGACGUUAGCGGCGGACGGGUGAGUAACACGUGGAUAACCUACCUAUAGGACUGGGAUAACUUCGGGAAACCGGAGCUAAUACCGGAUAAUAUAUUGAACCGCAUGGUUCAAUAGUGAAAGACGGUUUUGCUGUCACUUAUAGAUGGAUCCGCGCCGCAUUAGCUAGUUGGUAAGGUAACGGCUUACCAAGGCAACGAUGCGUAGCCGACCUGAGAGGGUGAUCGGCCACACUGGAACUGAGACACGGUCCAGACUCCUACGGGAGGCAGCAGUAGGGAAUCUUCCGCAAUGGGCGAAAGCCUGACGGAGCAACGCCGCGUGAAUGAUGAAGGUCUUCGGAUCGUAAAACUCUGUUAUUAGGGAAGAACAAAUGUGUAAGUAACUAUGCACGUCUUGACGGUACCUAAUCAGAAAGCCACGGCUAACUACGUG
rnacentral:rRNA from 1 species